GAUGAACGCUGACAGAAUGCUUAACACAUGCAAGUCUUUGGCGAAGCUGCGCUCGCACAGCCUAGCCAAGGCGGACGGGUGAGUAACGCGUAAGGAACUUGCCCUGCAGUCAGGGAUAACAGACGGAAACGACUGAUAAGACCUGGUAAAGUCAGGCGGAUUCAUGUCCAGCCUGAUGAAAAGAGAUGCUGCAGGAGAGCCUUGCGUCCUAUUAGCUUGUUGGUGGGGUAACGGCCCACCAAGGCGAUGAUAGGUAGCCGGCCUGGGAGGGUGGACGGCCACAAGGGGACUGGGAUGCGGCCAUUACUCCGACGGGAGGCAACGGUGGAGAAUAUUGGAAGAUGGGGGCAACCCUGAUCCAGCAAUUCUGUGUGCACGAUGAAGGUUUUCGGAUUGUAAAGUGCUUUCAGCAGGGAAGAAAAAAAAUGACGGUACCUGCAGAAGAAGCGACGGCUAAAUACGUG
rnacentral:rRNA from 1 species